rnacentral:ncRNA from 1 species
GUGCGUGGCGGCGAUACCGUUACGUCACCAUUCUCCUCUUGUCGUUGUUGCUCCGGGGCUCGAAGCCCCGGUUUUUUUUA